AGAGUUUGAUCAUGGCUCAGAACGAACGCUGGCGGCGCGCCUAAUACAUGCAAGUCGAGCGAGAAGACGUAGCAAUACGUUUGUAAAGCGGCGAACGGGUGAGGAAUACAUGGGUAACCUACCCUCGAGUGGGGAAUAACUAGCCGAAAGGUUAGCUAAUACCGCUACGACUCCUGGUCUGCGGAUCAGGAGAGAAAGCGAUACCGUGGGUAUCGCGCCUCUUGGAUGGGCUCAUGUCCUAUCAGCUUGUUGGUGAGGUAACGGCUCACCAAGGCUUCGACGGGUAGCUGGUCUGAGAGGACGAUCAGCCACACUGGCACUGCGACACGGGCCAGACUCCUACGGGAGGCAGCAGUAAGGAAUAUUGCGCAAUGGGCGACAGCCUGACGCAGCGACGCCGCGUGGGGGAUGAAGGUCUUCGGAUUGUAAACCCCUUUCGGCAGGGAAGAUGGAACGGGUAACCGUUCGGACGGUACCUGCAGAAGCAGCCACGGCUAACUUCGUGCCAGCAGCCGCGGUAAUACGAAGGUGGCAAGCGUUGUUCGGAUUUACUGGGCGUACAGGGAGCGUAGGCGGUUGGGUAAGCCCUUCGUGAAAUCUCCGGGCCUAACCCGGAAAGGGCGGAGGGGACUGCUCGGCUAGAGGAUGGGAGAGGAGCGCGGAAUUCCCGGUGUAGCGGUGAAAUGCGUAGAGAUCGGGAGGAAGGCCGGUGGCGAAGGCGGCGCUCUGGAACAUUUCUGACGCUGAGGCUCGAAAGCGUGGGGAGCAAACAGGAUUAGAUACCCUGGUAGUCCACGCCUUAAACGAUGGAUACUA
rnacentral:rRNA from 1 species